UACGAAGGGGGCUAGCGUUGUUCGGAUUUACUGGGCGUAAAGGGCGCGCAGGCGGCAGACCAAGUCAGGCGUGAAAGCCCCGGGCUUAACCUGGGAGGUGCGUCUGGGACUGGUAUGCUAGAGUUCGGGAGAGGAGAGUGGAAUUCCCAGUGUAGAGGUGAAAUUCGUAGAUAUUGGGAAGAACACCGGUGGCGAAGGCGGCUCUCUGGACCGAGACUGACGCUGAGGCGCGAAAGCGUGGGGAGCAAACAGG
rnacentral:rRNA from 1 species